GCUCAGAUUGAACGCUGGCGGCAUGCCUUACACAUGCAAGUCGAACGGCAGCAUGGAGAGCUUGCUCUCUGAUGGCGAGUGGCGAACGGGUGAGUAAUACAUCGGAACGUGUCCGUUUGUGGGGGACAACCGUCCGAAAGGAUGGCUAAUACCGCAUGAGACCUGAGGGUGAAAGCCGGGGACCGCAAGGCCCGGCGCAGACGGAGCGGCCGAUGAUUGAUUAGCUAGUUGGGGAGGUAAAGGCUCACCAAGGCGACGAUCAAUAGCUGGUCUGAGAGGACGACCAGCCACACUGGAACUGAGACACGGUCCAGACUCCUACGGGAGGCAGCAGUA
rnacentral:rRNA from 1 species